rnacentral:sRNA from 1 species
AUUUUGCUCUUCAUUCAUUUGUGCUGUGCUCUCCACGCGCCCUCGCCUCUCUUUCCUCCGAUCCUCCGCUUCGUUCGAAUCCCACAGGUGAGGUGACCUCUUCUCUCCAGUCUCCUCUCCUUAGUAGGAUUAGGAUCAUUACGAAUUUAGGAUCGAGAAUAUAGGAUUAUGAACCAGUAGUAUUAGGAUUAUGUUUUCUUCGAUUCUUUUUCUCCUUCAAAUCAAUUCCCAAUUCGAUUUAGGGUUGACGGAUACGCGAGCAGGGAUAGCCCUCCCGCCCGCAGAAAGAUUGGGCUUUCUUGGUUUCCCUGUCGUAAUCCCUUCUCUCCAGCCAACGCGGUGAAAAUUUUGUUUCGGUGGGGGUGGGGUGGGUGGUUGCCGGGUAGGUGCUGGUGCAUCUGCUUUCAGUUUCACCACCACCAUGGAUUGGCCGCUAAACAUAUACUGAUAUACACCUGUUUCCUGUCCCCUACCCCUAGGCUAGACUACUAGGGAGAAUUC